UGACAGUGAUGAGCUCUUUAUCCCGAAGCUGAUCAUCCAUUGAUGAAACAAACCUUUACGGAUCUGAUUGCUGAGUU
ensembl:snoRNA small nucleolar RNA SNORD50